UGGUGUGGCUCAGGGGUAGAGCAUCUGAUUCGUAAUCAGACGGUCGGCGGUUCGAAUCCGCCCACC
rnacentral:tRNA from 1 species